rnacentral:rRNA from 1 species
AGAAUCAACGCUGGCGGCGUGCCUAACACAUGCAAGUCGCACGAGAAAGGGAGUUCGCUCCUGAGUAAAGUGGCGCACGGGUGAGUAACACGUGAAUCAUCUACCUCCGAAUGGGGAAUAACUGAGAGAAAUCUUAGCUAAUACCGCAUAAUACCUACGGGUCAAAGCAGCAAUGCGUUUGGAGAGGAGUUCGCGGUCGAUUAGUUAGUUGGCGGGGUAAUGGCCCACCAAGACGAUGAUCGAUAUCCGGCCUGAGAGGGCGCACGGACACACUGGAACUGAAACACGGUCCAGACUCCUACGGGAGGCAGCAGUGGGGAAUUUUGCGCAAUGGGGGAAACCCUGACGCAGCAACGCCGCGUGGAGGAUGAAUAUCUUGGUAUGUAAACUCCUUUCGAUGGGGAAGAUAAUGACGGUACCCAUAGAAGACGCCCGGCUAACUUCGCGCCAGCAGCCGC